rnacentral:rRNA from 1 species
UCGAUCUGCGGAAGGUCAUUG